rnacentral:tRNA from 1 species
GGGUAAGUAGCUCACUGGUUAGAGCUUAGAUCUCGAAACCGGAAGGUCCCGGGAUCGAAUCCCGCUAAUUAA